rnacentral:rRNA from 1 species
AUUGAACGCUGGCGGCAUGCCUUACACAUGCAAGUCGAACGCGAAAGGGAGCAAUCCUGAGUAGAGUGGCGAACGGGUGAGUAAUGCAUCGGAACGUGUCCCGUAGUGGGGGAUAACCCAUCGAAAGGUGGGCUAAUACCGCAUACGACCUGAGGGAGAAAGCCGGGGAUCGCAAGACCUGGCGCUAUGGGAGCGGCCGAUGUCCGAUUAGCUAGUUGGUGAGGUAAAAGCUCACCAAGGCGACGAUCGGUAGCUGGUCUGAGAGGAUGAUCAGCCACACUGGGACUGAGACACGGCCCAGACUCCUACGGGAGGCAGCAGUGGGGAAUUUUGGACAAUGGGGGAAACCCUGAUCCAGCCAUGCCGCGUGAGUGAAGAAGGCCUUCGGGUUGUAAAGCUCUUUCGGCCGGAACGAAAUCGCAUUCUUUAACAGAGGGUGUGGAUGACGGUACCGGAAGAAGAAGCACCGGCUAACUACGUGCCAGCAGCCGCGGUAAUACGUAGGGUGCGAGCGUUAAUCGGAAUUACUGGGCGUAAAGCGUGCGCAGGCGGUUACAUAAGCCAGAUGUGAAAUCCCCGGGCUUAACCUGGGAACUGCAUUUGGGACUGUGUGGCUUGAGUAUGGCAGAGGGAGGUGGAAUUCCACGUGUAGCAGUGAAAUGCGUAGAGAUGUGGAGGAACACCGAUGGCGAAGGCAGCCUCCUGGGGCCAAUAC